rnacentral:rRNA from 1 species
UACAGAGGUCCCAAGCGUUGUUCGGAUUCAUUGGGCGUAAAGAGCGUGUAGGCGGCCCGAUAAGUCCGCUGUGAAAGUCCAGGGCUCAACCCUGGGAUGCCGGUGGAUACUGUCGGGCUCGAGUCCGGAAGAGGAGUGUGGAAUUCCUGGUGUAGCGGUGAAAUGCGCAGAUAUCAGGAGGAACACCAAUGGCGAAGGCAGCACUCUGGGACGUGACUGACGCUGAGACGCGAAAGCGUGGGGAGCAAACAGG